CCGUGGUAAUUUGGGACUAAUGAAUGAAUGAAUGAAUGGUUCUUUAAAAGGUCGAACCGUUGGCACUGAGGCAUCCACGGCUGCCUACAUCCAUUGGUGUCACUGUCCGAUAGAAGAUUCUGCUGCGUGGACCGUGUGGACCACAUUGCCUUUUGGAGCCCGUCUCCGUCUUUUCUCCUGCAGACAAGAACUCCCACGACAGAGGAAGCUGAGCUGGGGCUGAAGGGCGCACUGGUGCUGCUCCGAGCCUCCCCCACCGAGAGCACUGCUCGCCUGGGCGCUGGGCGCGGAGCUGGGUGCUUUCUGUUCUUCAUUGCCUUGAAUCGUCACACCGGCCUUACGGAAUGGAUACUCUUACCACCUUUCACAGGUCUCGCCGGGGGUCCGGAAGGGAAGCUGCCCCUCCAGCAAGAGAAGGACAUUUUGACCCCGUGCCUCUUCCCACUGGUUUUGCAGAUGGGCCCUCCCUCUUCCCACCUGGCCCUCUUGCAUCAGCUCUAGAGAUGACUUCUGCUCUGCUCUGCCGGGCGCCCUGGGUGACUAACACAGGCUACUGGAUCUGCUGAACUACAUUUCUGAGUUUGGGGAAGGAAGAGGACCUGGAACAUUUUGCCAUUUCUGUUCUUCAAGAAAGGAGAAGUUCUAGAGCCUGGCCCUCACACAGUACUGUCUUCCAGAAGACUAGAAACUUCUAGGAAGUCUGGUCCUCACAAUGGGAUCUGAUCCCAAGUAGGUAGUUCUCUGUGCAGACAGCCCUGUUGGUACGGCGUGGGGGUAGUCUCCCUGGGGUAAGGAGAAAGGAUGCUGGUGUGUUUU
rnacentral:lncRNA from 1 species